rnacentral:rRNA from 1 species
AGGGCACAUGGCGGAUGCCUUGGCUCUCGGAGGCGAUGAAGGACGUGAUAAGCUGCGAUAAGCUGCGGGUAGGUGCAAAUGACCUUUGAUCCGCGGAUUUCCGAAUGGGACAACCCGGUACUUUGAAGAAGUAUCAUCCUGCAUUGCAGGAGGCUAACGCAGGGAACUGAAACAUCUUAGUACCUGCAGGAAAAGAAAAUAAACAAUGAUUCCCCCAGUAGUGGCGAGCGAACGGGGAAUAGCCCAAACCAUCCAUGUUACGGCAUGGGUGGGGUUGUAGGACCACGCCGUGGCAAGAAAGUUGGUGAGCAGAAUGUUCUGGAAAGUACAGCCAUAGAGCAUGAGAGCUGCGUAUGCGAAGCCAAGCGAAGCCUAGUGGUAUCCUGAGUAGCGCGGAGCACGAGGAAUUCUGCGUGAAUCUGCCGGGACCAUCCGGUAAGGCUAAAUACUCCCGAGAGACCGAUAGUGAACCAGUACUGUGAAGGAAAGGUGAAAAGCACUUCGAACAGAAGAGUGAAAUAGUUCCUGAAACCAUGUGCCUACAAGCGGUCGGAGCACCUUUUGGUGUGACGGCGUGCCUUUUGCAUAAUGAACCUACGAGUUACUUUUUCCGGCGAGGUUAAGGAUUUCAGAUCUGCAGCCGAAGCGAAAGCGAGUCUGAACAGGGCGUAUAGUCGGAAGGAGUAGACGCGAAACCAAGUGAUCUACCCUUGGGCAGGUUGAAGGAUGGGUAACACCAUCUGGAGGACCGAACCAAUAAGCGUUGAAAAGCUUCUGGAUGACCUGAGGGUGGGGGUGAAAGGCUAAUCAAACUUGGAGAUAGCUCGUACUCCCCGAAAUGCAUUUAGGUGCAGCCUUGACUUAUACUGGCAUGAGGUAGAGCGACUGAUAAGAUGCGAGGGCUUCACCGCCUAUCAAGUCUUGACAAACUCCGAAUGCGUGUCAGUUCUAUGUCAGGAGUGAGGGCAUGGGUGCUAAGGUCCAUGUCCUAAAGGAGAACAAUCCGGACCAACAGCUAAGGUCCCGAAAUGAAUACUAAGUUGAACUAACGAAGUCAGAUUGCUAAGACAGCUAGGAUGUUGGCUUGGAAGCAGCCAUUCAUUUAAAGAGUGCGUAACAGCUCACUAGUCGAGGAGUUUGGCGUGGAUAAUAAUCGGGCAUAAGUAUUCUACCGAAGCUUUGGGAUGAGAAAUCAUCGGUAGGGGAGCAUUCCACUCGGCGUCGAAGGUGAAGCGCGAGCUUUGCUGGAGCGUGUGGAAAAGCAAAUGUAGGUAUAAGUAACGAUAAAGGGGGUGGGAAACCCCCUCGCCGAAAGACUAAGGUUUCCUGAUCAACGCUAAUCGGAUCAGGGUAAGUCGGGUCCUAAGGCUCAGCCGAACGGCGAGGCCGAUGGCAGAACCGGUUAAUAUUCCGGUACUACCUGUGGGAGUGACGUGGAGACGGAGUCGUGACAGCGCCGCGGACUGACGGAAUAGUCCGUUGAAGGGUGUAGAUGCUGAUUGUUCCAGGCAAAUCCGGAGCAAGAGUCGAACCUGAUAGUAUGGAGCGUUCUUAGAACAAUCCAAUAGUGCGUGUAAUCAUACUUCCAAGAAAAUCCGCUAAACUUAAUCCUGCAGGUACCCGUACCGCAAACGGACACACGUAGUCGGGUUGAAUAUACUAAGGCGCUUGAGUGAUUCACGGUUAAGGAACUAGGCAAACUGACCCUGUAACUUCGGGAUAAAGGGUCCUCGCUUUACGGCGAGGCGCAGAGAAUAGGUCCAGGCAACUGUUUAACAAAAACACAGGGCUGUGCAAAAUUGAAAGAUGAAGUAUACAGCCUGACACCUGCCCGGUGCUGGAAGGUUAAGAGGAGAUGUCAUCGCAAGAGAAGCAUUGAAUUGAAGCCCCAGUAAACGGCGGCCGUAACUAUAACGGUCCUAAGGUAGCGAAAUUCCUUGUCGGGUAAGUUCCGACCUGCACGAAUGGUGUAAUGAUCUGGACGCUGUCUCAACCGUGAGCUCAGUGAAAUUGUAGUAUCGGUGAAGAUGCCGAUUACCCGCGAUGG